rnacentral:rRNA from 1 species
UACGUAGGGUGCGGGCGUGUCCGGAAUUACUGGGCGUAAAGAGCUCGUAGGCGGUUUGUCGCGUCGUCCGUGAAAACUUGGGGCUCAACCCCAAGCUUGCGGGCGAUACGGGCAGACUUGAGUACUGCAGGGGAGACUGGAAUUCCUGGUGUAGCGGUGAAAUGCGCAGAUAUCAGGAGGAACACCGGUGGCGAAGGCGGGUCUCUGGGCAGUAACUGACGCUGAGGAGCGAAAGCAUGGGGGAGCGAACAGG